AUUGAACGCUGGCGGCAGGCCUAACACAUGCAAGUCGAGCGGAUGAAGGGAGCUUGCUCCUGGAUUCAGCGGCGGACGGGUGAGUAAUGCCUAGGAAUCUGCCUGGUAGUGGGGGAUAACGUCCGGAAACGGGCGCUAAUACCGCAUACGUCCUGAGGGAGAAAGUGGGGGGUCUUCGGACCUCACGCUAUCAGAUGAGCCUAGGUCGGAUUAGCUAGUUGGUGGGGUAAGGGCCUACCAAGGCGACGAUCCGUAACUGGUCUGAGAGGAUGAUCAGUCACACUGGAACUGAGACACGGUCCAGACGCCUACGGGAGGCAGCAGUGUGGAAUAUUGGACAAUGGGCGAAAGCCUGAUCCAGCCAUGCCGCGUGUGUGAAGAAGGUCUUCGGAUUGAAAAGCACUUUAAGUUGGGAGGAAGGGCAGUAAGUUAAUACCUUGCUGUUUUGACGUUAACAACAGAAUAAGCACCGGCUAACUUCGUG
rnacentral:rRNA from 1 species